AUUGAACGCUGGCGGCAUGCCUUACACAUGCAAGUCGAACGGUAACAGGUCUUCGGAUGCUGACGAGUGGCGAACGGGUGAGUAAUACAUCGGAACGUGCCUAGUAGUGGGGGAUAACUACUCGAAAGAGUGGCUAAUACCGCAUGAGAUCUACGGAUGAAAGCAGGGGAUCGCAAGACCUUGUGCUACUAGAGCGGCCGAUGGCAGAUUAGGUAGUUGGUGGGAUAAAAGCUUACCAAGCCGACGAUCUGUAGCUGGUCUGAGAGGACGAUCAGCCACACUGGGACUGAGACACGGCCCAGACUCCUACGGGAGGCAGCAGUGGGUAAUUUUGGACAAUGGGCGCAAGCCUGAUCCAGCAAUGCCGCGUGCAGGAUGAAGGCCUUCGGGUUGUAAACUGCUUUUGUACGGAACGAAAAGCCCUGGGUUAAUACCCUGGGGUCAUGACGGUACCGUAAGAAUAAGCACCGGCUAACUACGUGCCAGCAGCCGCAGUAACAC
rnacentral:rRNA from 1 species